rnacentral:lncRNA from 1 species
GGUGGAGGUGGUGACUUGUAGACAUAAGUAGGUACUGGAGGAGGUGGUGACUUGUACUCAUAAGUAGGCGUGGGUGGCGGUGGAGACUUGUACACAUAGGUUGGUGUUGGUGGUGGUGGAGAUUUGUACUCAUAAGUAGGUGUGGGUGGCGGUGGAGACUUGUACACAUAGGUCGGUGUUGGUGGCGGUGGAGAUUUGUACUCAUAAGUAGGCGUGGGUGGCGGUGGAGACUUGUACACAUAGGUCGGUGUUGGUGGCGGUGGAGAUUUAUACUCAUAAGUAGGCGUUGGUGGAGGUGGAGAUUUGUAUUCAUAAGUGGGCGUGGGUGGUGGUGGAGACUUGUACUCAUAAGUAGGCGUGGGUGGCGGUGGAGACUUGUACACAUAGGUUGGUGUUGGUGGUGGUGGAGAUUUGUACUCAUAAGUAGGUGUGGGUGGCGGUGGAGAUUUGUACUCAUAAGUAGGCGUGGGUGGCGGUGGAGAUUUGUACUCAUAAGUAGGCUUUGGUGGUGGUGGAGACUUGUACUCAUAAGUAGGCGUGGGUGGCGGUGGAGACUUGUACACAUAGGUUGGUGUUGGUGGUGGUGGAGAUUUGUACUCAUAAGUAGGUGUGGGCGGCGGUGGAGACUUGUACACAUAGGUCGGUGUUGGCGGCGGUGGAGAUUUGUACACAUAGGUCGGUGUUGGUGGCGGUGGAGACUUGUAUACAUAGGUCGGUGCUGGAGGAGGUGGGGACUUAUAGACAUAAGUUGGCGACGGUGGUGGAGGAGACUUGUAGUAGUACGGAGCCGGGGUCGGCUUCGGCUUCUUAC